ACUCUUUUGGCCCAUGCAUCUGUUCCGUUUCGUUUUUGGGGUGAUGCUUUCACCACUGCAUGUUUUCUCAUCAAUCGUACUCCCACUCGUGUUUUGAAUAUGAAGACUCCCAUUGAAUUUCUCCUUAAUGAACAAUCGGACUACACCUUUCUCAAGGUGUUUGGGUGUGCUUGCUGGCCCCAUCUCCGUCCAUAUAACAAGCGUAAGCUCGAGUUUCGUUCCAAGAAGUGUGUUUUUCUUGGUUAUAGCUCUCUUCAUAAAGGAUACAAAUGUCUUCAUGUGCCCACUAAUCGUGUCUACAUCUCUCGGGAUGUUGUGUUUGAUGAGCAUGUUUUUCCCUUUGCCAAACUCCCUGUGUCCACUACCGAGCCACCUGUCAUGCAUUCAUCCUCCGUUGCUUCUGACCAAUUUGAUGAUGUUGCAUAUUCUCCUCUAUUGUUGCCUAACCAUGGUGCAGGCACUGGUCGUGGGGCUCGUUUG
rnacentral:rRNA from 1 species